rnacentral:rRNA from 1 species
UACAGAGGUCUCAAGCGUUUGUUCGGAUUCAUUGGGCGUAAAGGGUGCGUAGGUGGCGCCGUAAGUCGGGUGUGAAAUUUCGGAGCUUAACUCCGAAACUGCAUUCGAUACUGCGGUGCUUGAGGACUGGAGAGGAGACUGGAAUUCAUGGUGUAGCAGUGAAAUGCGUAGAGAUCAUGAGGAAGACCAGUGGCGAAGGCGGGUCUCUGGACAGUUCCUGACACUGAGGCACGAAGGCCAGGGGGAGCAAACGGG